rnacentral:rRNA from 1 species
CCUGGCUUAGGAUGAACGCUAGCGACAGGCUUAACACAUGCAAGUCGAGGGGCAGCACGGGAGUAGCAAUACAACUGGUGGCGACCGGCGCACGGGUGAGUAACGCGUAUGCAACCUACCUAUCAGAGGGGAAUAACCCGGCGAAAGUCGGACUAAUACCGCAUAAAACAGGGGCACCGCAUGGUGAUAUUUGUUAAAGAAAUUCGCUGAUAGAUGGGCAUGCGUUCCAUUAGGUAGUUGGUGAGGUAACGGCUCACCAAGCCGACGAUGGAUAGGGGAACUGAGAGGUUGGUCCCCCACACUGGUACUGAGACACGGACCAGACUCCUACGGGAGGCAGCAGUGAGGAAUAUUGGUCAAUGGGCGAGAGCCUGAACCAGCCAAGUCGCGUGAAAGGAAGAAGGAUCUAUGGUUCGUAAACUUCUUUUGCAGGGGAAUAAAGUGCGGGACGUGUCCUGUUUUGUAUGUACCCUGAGAAUAAGGAUCGGCUAACUCCGUGCCAGCAGCUGC